rnacentral:rRNA from 1 species
AGAGUUUGAUCCUGGCUCAGAACGAACGCUGGCGGCAGGCCUAACACAUGCAAGUCGAGCGCUCCCUUCGGAGGGAGCGGCGGACGGGUUAGUAACGCGUGGGAAUAUACCCUUCACUACGGAAUAGCCUCGGGAAACUGAGAGUAAUACCGUAUACGCCCUUCGGGGGAAAGAUUUAUCGGUGAAGGAUUAGCCCGCGUUAGAUUAGAUAGUUGGUGGGGUAAUGGCCUACCGAGUCUACGAUCUAUAGCUGGUUUUAGAGGAUGAUCAGCAACACUGGGACUGAGACACGGCCCAGACUCCUACGGGAGGCAGCAGUGGGGAAUCUUGGACAAUGGGCGCAAGCCUGAUCCAGCCAUGCCGCGUGUGUGAUGAAGGCCUUAGGGUCGUAAAGCACUUUCGCCAGGGAUGAUAAUGACAGUACCUGU